UUUGGCAAAUCCGGGUGGCAAUGGGAAGCCGUGAUGCGGAGCGAAAUAAAGUAGCGAAGUCCGUGAGCCAUGCGUCAAGAAAAGCCGCUAUCGCUUAUACCGUACCCGUACCGUAAACCGACACAGGUGGAUGAGGAGAGAAUCCUAAGGCCGGCGGAAGAAGCAUUGUCAAGGAACUCGGCAAAAUGGCCCCGUAACUUAGGGAUAAGGGGUGCCUGGGAAACCAGGCCGCAGAGAAUAGGCUCAAGCAACUGUUUAGCAAAAACACAGGUCUAUGCGAAACCGAAAGGUGAGGUAUAUGGGCUGACGCCUGCCCGGUGCUGGAAGGUUAAGAGGAGAGGUUAGCGGUAACGCGAAGCUUUGAAUUUAAGCCCCAGUUAACGGCGGCCGUAACAAUAACGGUCCUAAGGUAGCGAAAUUCCUUGUCGGGUAAGUUCCGACCCGCACGAAAGGCGUAAUGAUUUGAGCGCUGUCUCGACAAUGCAUCCGGUGAAAUUGAAGUACCAGUGAAGAUGCUGGUUACCUGCGCCAGGACGGAAAGACCCCAUGGAGCUUUACUCCAGUCUGGUACUGGGACUCGGUAUUGCAUGUACAGGAUAGGUGGGAGGCUAGGAGAUGGUAACGCCAGUUGCCAUGGAGCCGCUGUUGGGAUACCACCCUUGCAGUAUUGGGUUUCUAACCAGCCGCCGUGACCCGGCGGUGGGACAAUGCCAGACGGGGAGUUUGACUGGGGCGGUCGCCUCCGAAAGGGUAUCGGAGGCGCCCAAAGGUUCCCUCAGAAUGGACGGAAACCAUUCGAAGAGUGCAAAGGCAGAAGGGAGCUUGACUGCGACACCGACGGGUGGAGCAGGUACGAGAGUAGGGCUUAGUGAUCCGGUGGUAUUAAGUGGGAAUGCCAUCGCUCAACGGAUAAAAGCUACCCUGGGAUAACAGGCUUAUCACUCCCAAGAGUUCACAUCGACGGAGUGGUUUGGCACCUCGAUGUCGGCUCAUCGCAUCCUGGGGCUGUAGUAGGUCCCAAGGGUUGGGCUGUUCGCCCAUUAAAGCGGUACGCGAGCUGGGUUCAGAACGUCGUGAGACAGUUCGGUCCCUAUCCGGCGUGGGCGUAGGAUAUCUGAGAGGAGCUGUCCUUAGUACGAGAGGACCGGGAUGGACGGGCCGCUGGUGCAUCGGUUAGACUGCCAAGUCUACGGCCGAGUAGCCAAGCCCGGAAGGGAUAAGCGCUGAAGGCAUCUAAGCGUGAAGCCCCCCUUAAGAUGAGAUAUCCCAUUCGUUAAGAAGUAAACCCCCUUGAGGACGACGAGGUAGAUAGGGCAGAGGUGGAAGUGCAGUAAUGCAUGGAGCUGACUGUUACUAAUCGGGUGAGGGCUUGACC
rnacentral:rRNA from 1 species